rnacentral:tRNA from 2 species
GGCGCGUUCGUCUAGAGGCUUAGGACGCCGCCCUCUCAAGGCGGAGAUCACGGGUUCGAAUCCCGUACGCGCUA